GUAUGUUAGGCAGAUAGAAUUGACAGUGCAGAAAAAUCUCUGACAGCUUUAAGAGCCUGGAACUUGUUGAAGUGAUCUAGGAUGAGAAAGUUUUAGAACUCAAUCAGAAUGCACUAUAACAUGGAUAAUCCUAUAGGUAUUAAGCUGGGACACCUUGAUGAAGACUGUGUAACAGAGCUUUCUGUGUUUCACAACAAGAGAAAAGAGAGUAGAUCAGCAUUAACGUCAGAGCCUUUUUGUUAUUUUUUUACCAUGCUGAAAUCCUUAUGAAUCUCUGGAAGUCCAGGCAGACUCAAAACAGAAACUGAUGGAUGAACAGCAGAUGUCACAUGCUGGCUUAACUCCCUGCUUUGAAAUGUUUCACUAUAGGUGGAAAAUAUCAACAACAUCAGGUAAGACAACCAAGCAAAUUUGGGGAAUUACAGUUCACAAAUACUUCAGGA
rnacentral:lncRNA from 1 species